rnacentral:tRNA from 1 species
GUUUUUAUAGUUUAAAAUAAAACAUUGGUUUUGUAAAUCAAUAAUAAUAAUUAUAUUU